AGAGAAAGAGGGAGGAAGGAAGAAAAAAGGAAAGGAGAAAGAAAAGGGAGGGGUUAGGGGAGGAAGGGUGAGUAAAACGUGGGAACGUGAAUUUAGGUUGGGAAUAACGCAGGGAAACUUGUGCUAAGAAAGAAUGUGAUUUGCGGGGGAAAGAUUUAUCGCCUUUAGAGCGGCCCGCGUCUGAUUAGCUAGUUGGUUGAGGUAAUGGCUCACCAAGACGACCAUCAGUAGCUGGUCUGAGAGGAUGAUCAGCCACAGGGGGACUGAGACACGGCCCAAACUCCUACGGGAGGCAGCAGUGGGGAAUCUUGCGCAAUGGGCGAAAGCCUGACGCAGCCAUGCCACAUGCCUUCUUCCUAUCUUAGUAUUGUAAAAUUCUUUCACCGGGGACGAUAAUGACUGUACCCGGAGAAGAAGCCCCAGCUCCCUUCGUG
rnacentral:rRNA from 1 species